UAGGGAAUCUUCGGCAAUGGACGAAAGUCUGACCGAGCAACGCCGCGUGAGUGAAGAAGGUUCUCGGAUCGUAAAACUCUGUUGUUAGAGAAGAACAAGGACGUUAGUAACUGAACGUCCCCUGACGGUAUCUAACCAGAAAGCCACGGCUAACUACGUGCCAGCAGCCGCGGUAAUACGUAGGUGGCAAGCGUUGUCCGGAUUUAUUGGGCGUAAAGCGAGCGCAGGCGGGUUCUUAAGUCUGAUGUGAAAGCCCCCGGCUCAACCGGGGAGGGUGAUUGGAAACUGGGAGACUUGAGUGCAGAAGAGGAAAGUGGAAUUCCAUGUGUAGCGGUGAAAUGCGUAGAUAUAUGGAGGAACACCAGUGGGGAAGGCGGCUCUCUGGUCUGUAGCUGACGCUGAGGCUAGAAAGCGUGGGGAGCAAACAGG
rnacentral:rRNA from 1 species